UGUCAAGUAGCUCAGUGGUAGAGCGGGAGAUUGUUAAUCUCUAGGUCGGUGGUUCGAUACCACCCUUGACAGCC
rnacentral:tRNA from 1 species